CUGCGGGCUCCUCCGGUUGUGAAAACUUGGCGGAGCCACUGCGCGCGCGGGGGCGGCGCUGGAGUCGUCGCGGACCGGGGUGGCCUGGGCGCACUGGCCUGUCCCCGGCGGGCAGGCGAGGCCCGGAGAGAACUUCGGGAGGCGCGGACCGCCCGGCCCCGUGCGCCCCUCUCUUCCCUCGGCCUCAGCGCUGCUCCGUCCUCAGCCCGGAGUGAGCAGAGAGCGGACCCCGCGGUGGCGCACGGCCAGGCUGCUUCCCGUGGCCUGGGAGCGGCUGAGCUACUCUGGGCCAAGCCGGCAAAACAGUGUGCCCUUCGCCGGCCUGCGGAGCCCGCGAGGACCCCGCAGGCCGAGUGCCGCCAGCUGGGACCCCCCCGGGCCGCUUUGAGGCCACUGGCUGAGACCCGGGCCCAGCGCCCCGCAGCGUCCGCCCUCGGCCCGCGGGGUUCUCCCUCACGCGGACCUGCCACGUGGCCUGGACGGAGGCCGUUCGGCCUGGGCAUCAGGAUGAAGCCUGGUCCUGGGUCUACACUGGGGCGGGCCCUGUCCCUGGUGAGCAGAGCCACAGCUCCCUGGUCUGCAGCUGUGAGGAUGCUCCAGGCCUAGGGACUCGGACAGCACCAGGAAGUCUCGCCUGGGAUUAGCGACAGUGUGACCCGCGAGAGUAAUUACUGCUUACCCGCUCCGAAAUUACCAGCUUCGGUUCUCUGACCUGCCCAGGGCUUCUUCCUGUCCACGCCCCUCCCUGCUGCCCCCCUCCCGUGCCAAGGCCAGGGCCCCGUGCCGGCUUUGGCAGAUUUCGGGUGGCCUUCAGUGAGCUGGCGCCGCCCGCUCUGGGAGUCCCCACCCUGCUUCCUCGCCAGGAACCCCAAGCAGGGCCCACUUCCCUCUUCUUUGCACCCCAAGGAACCCCAGCGCUGCCUGGACCUGGGACUGUCUCUCCAGCGUCCUGCUAAGCAAACACCAGUGUGGCAUUUCAAGGUGACAGGUAAACACAGAGGACGAGCGGGUCCGGGCUCCCCAGCGAAGCGGAGGAAGACGUCGGGAGGGCGGGGGACCCGCGGGCCAGGCCCCUCCCCGACCCACCGCCUCCGAAGCCGCCUCCCUGAGCGGACCCUAGGGGUCGCUGCGAGGUGAGAUCUGAGCUCCGCCCUGCCAAGUCCUGCAGAGGGCCCUGACGCCGGCGGUGGAGGAGACCGGACUUCGGCUGGGGACCCGGUGCACCCGGGUGCGUGGGCAGAGCCGCAGCAAGGCGGGCGGGGAGCGCUGGUAGGGAAAGGCGCGCUGGUUUUCAAGUUUCGGGCUCCUUUGGGUCCUUUACCAAGAACUGCCCUCCUGUCCACCACCCUCCCAGGACGGAGUCUUCCCCGGCCCCGGGGGUUUCUAAGUGAAAACCCCGAAAUAAUUCUCCAGGAUUCCGAGGUUCUGCUGCCCAGAGGCCUCAAAGGAGAAAGAGG
rnacentral:lncRNA from 1 species